rnacentral:rRNA from 1 species
UAAUACGGGGGGAGCAAGCGUUGUUCGGAAUUACUGGGCGUAAAGGGCGUGUAGGCGGCCGACUAAGUCGGGGGUGAAAUCCACUGGCUCAACCAGUGAAGUGCCUUCGGGACUGGACGGCUUGAGUAUGGCAGAGGGAAGCGGAAUUCCAGGUGUAGCGGUGAAAUGCGUAGAUAUCUGGAAGAACACCGGUGGCGUAGGCGGCUUCCUGGGCCAAUACUGACGCUGAUGCGCGAAAGCCAGGGGAGCAAACGGGAUUAGAUACCCCGGUAGUCCUGGCCGUAAACGUUGGAUACUAGGUGUAGGAGGUAUCGACCCCUUCUGUGCCGCAGCUAACGCACUAAGUAUCCCGCCUGGGGAGUACGACCGCAAGGUUG